UUCAAAAAAGGUAUACUAAUUAUAUUUAUAAAUAGCUCUAAGUUACUUUAAUUAAUUAGUAUGGUAUUAAUUAAUCAUUUUUUUUGGACAAAAGUAUGGUAUUAAUCAUAUUACGAUAUUUUACAACUGCAAGAUAGGGCCAAACUUUUUGGACUUCUAAGCAAGCCAUUGUAACAUUAUACCCUCCAACCAUGAUUUCUAUCAUGAAAUGUCUAGUCCAACACACUGUACUUUUUGUGGAUAUAGUUCAAAUAUUUUAGAAACCAAAAGAGUGGCUAACCGACAUUAACGAGCUCGACAGACGACAGAUUAGCAUUGAUAAGUUUUCUCCAGAUAUUUUUUGCUUCUUUUGACCCACGAGCCGCGUUCUGGUACUCGUAGUAGCAUUAGCGUGGCGGGUUAUUGUUUUUUUUUUUUUUGUCUUUUUACGCGUUUUUUUAUGUUAGCACUUAUGUAUUUGUUUGGUUAGUCAUAUAACACUUAUGGACUUCAAAAUCACCUAUGUGCCACGAGUGUGCAAUCAGUUUGCUGAUUUUUUAGUUAAAACUGCUAGGAUCUUUCGUAGAGAGUUACUUUUCAUUGGUUGUUCUAUUCCGGUCUGGUUACCCAGACCACCUCAAGCUUGAGUAAUAUAAUAGCCGUUCGACGUCAAAAAAAAAAAAAAAGACAUAUAACUCGAUUGUUGCCGAAGAAACUCGAUUAAUAAAACUAGAAAAAAUAAGUGUGCGCUGCCGACAACACGAAAAACACAAAUGGUUAUUAGACAGCACCGUGCCGAGUUCUGAAACCCGUUUGUACAUAUAUAUUUGUGGUUUUUCAUUUAGAAUAACAUAUUAAUUUUUUGUUCAACAUAGAACCUUUGCUCGUACCAUCUUUAUAUCGUAGACACUAAGCGUUAAUAGAAUAUAUACGAGCACACUUGCAAAAAAUUAAAUUCCUGAGUGAAAUAAAUUAGACAGAAAAACAUUUAACAACGAUAUUUAGAUUGAUUUGCCCCUUCUAAAAGGGCAACAAACACACAUUUAUCAUGUAACGUUAAGUUCUAAAUAUAGGUACGUGUCAC
rnacentral:lncRNA from 1 species